GACGAACGCUGGCGGUGUGCUUAACACAUGCAAGUCGUACGGUAAGGCCCUUUCGGGGGUACACGAGUGGAGAACGGGGGAGUAACACGUGAUUAACCUGCGCACAACUUUGGGAUAACGCUAGUAAACUGGUGCUAAUACUGGAUAUGUGCUCCUGCUGCAUGGUGGGGGUGGGAAAGCUCCGGCGGUUGUGGAGGGACGCGCGGCCUAUCAGCUUGUUGGUGGGGUAGUGGCCUACCAAGGCGGCGCCGAGGAGCCGGCCUGAGAGGGUGACCGGCAACAGUGGGACUGGGAUACGGCCCCGACUCCUACGGGAGGCAGCAGUGGCGAAUAUUGAACAAUGGGCGCGAGCCUGAUGCAGCAACGCCGCGUCCGGGAUGACGGCCUUCGGGUUGUAAUCCGAUUUCAGCAGGGACGAAGCUUUUUGUGACGGUACCUGCAGAAGAAGCACCGGCUAACUACGUG
rnacentral:rRNA from 1 species